rnacentral:rRNA from 1 species
AUUGAACGCUGGCGGCAUGCCUUACACAUGCAAGUCGAACGGUAACAGGUUAAGCUGACGAGUGGCGAACGGGUGAGUAAUGUAUCGGAACGUGCCCAGUCGUGGGGGAUAACUGCUCGAAAGAGCAGCUAAUACCGCAUACGACCUGAGGGUGAAAACGGGGGAUCGCAAGACCUCGCGCGAGUGGAGCGGCCGAUAUCAGAUUAGGUAGUUGGUGAGGGAAAGGCUCACCAAGCCGACGAUCUGUAGCUGGUCUGAGAGGACGACUAGCCACACUGGGACUGAGACACGGCCCAGACUCCUACGGGAGGCAGCAGUGGGGAAUUUUGGACAAUGGGCGCAAGCCUGAUCCAGCCAUGCCGCGUGCGGGAAGAAGGCCUUCGGGUUGUAAACCGCUUUUGUCAGGGAAGAAAAGGUUCUGGCUAAUACCUGGGACUCAUGACGGUACCUGAAGAAUAAGCACCGGCUAACUACGUGCCAGCAGCCGCCGUAAUAC